rnacentral:lncRNA from 1 species
UUGUUUGUUUGUGCCAUGUUAGUAUGUUUUUAAUUUCUUUAUGGAAAAGUUUGAAAGUUACAGGUUUGUUUGUUGGGCAGUGUGACAUCAGCUCUAUGGUGGCAUUUAGUCUGCACAGAUUCUAAAUUAUGCAAUGUAGUGUGGUCCAAUGAGCUUUAUUUUUAUAUGAUUGAGUUGUUCUUUUAAUAUUGCGUGCAUGGUUAGAAUGGAAAAGGAGGGACACGACUUUCUUUUUGUAAAUAAGUUUCUUUUUGUAAAUAAGUGUCUAUUAAUGGAAGUUUUUUUCAAGUACUUCAACCCUUUCAACAAAGAAGUGUCUAAUUAAAGAUAUUUAUGUUUUUCGAAAUAUUAUAUUUAUAGUUUAA